rnacentral:rRNA from 1 species
CAGCAGCCACGGGAAUACGGAGGGGGCUAGCGUUGUUCGGAAUUACUGGGCGUAAAGCGUGCGUAGGUGGUGGUUUAAGUCCGUUGUGAAAGCCCUGGGCUCAACCUGGGAAUUGCAGUGGAUACUGGGUCACUAGAGUGUGGUAGAGGAUAGUGGAAUUUCCGGUGUAGCAGUGAAAUGCGUAGAGAUCGGAAGGAACAUCUGUGGCGAAGGCGACUAUCUGGGCCAACACUGACACUGAGGCACGAAAGCGUGGGGAGCAAACAGGAUUAGAUACCCCUGUAGUCCCUGUCUCUUAUAA